rnacentral:rRNA from 1 species
UGGGGAAUAUUGGACAAUGGGCGCAAGCCUGAUCCAGCAAUGCCGCGUGGGUGAAGAAGGUCUUCGGAUUGUAAAGCCCUUUCGACGGGGACGAUGAUGACGGUACCCGUAGAAGAAGCCCCGGCUAACUUCGUGCCAGCAGCCGCGGUAAUACGAAGGGGGCUAGCGUUGCUCGGAAUGACUGGGCGUAAAGGGCGCGUAGGCGGCUUGCACAGUCAGGCGUGAAAUUCCUGGGCUCAACCUGGGGACUGCGCUUGAGACGUGUGGGCUUGAGUGGGGAAGAGGUCGUGGAAUUCCCAGUGUAGAGGUGAAAUUCGUAGAUAUUGGGAAGAACACCGGUGGCGAAGGCGGCGACCUGGUCCUUGACUGACGCUGAGGCGCGAAAGCGUGGGGAGCAAACAGGAUUAGAUACCC